CGGGGUGCUCGUCACGUAAAGGCGAUGUGUUAGUAAAGAGAGAGAUAAACACUUAAGCUGUGAUAUUUAGUGUUAAGUGUACUUGAGCAUAUGUCAAAAGAAACGCGGCACAAGCCUACAGGACCGGGCGCGGGUGUCAUGUGACAAGUGACGCGAGUGACCCAGUGUGAGAGACGCGUGAGUGGCGAAGCGGUACUCGUCCCCCUCACUCGGCCCGGAGGAUGCUGUCCCUCGCGCGGAUAACAAGAUAAAACGUCCAGGAAACAGUGGAUUUUGCUCGCAGGGGAAGGGGCCGUCUGCGGUGCCAGUGCGAGAGAGAGCUUUUGGUGCCAGAGGUAGUGCCAGGCAGGCGGGGGCUUUGAGGUGACACUGGUGAGCUCCACCUGUUACCACCUGUCACUUGCACCAGGUGGACUGCCAGCAAGCAAGCGAGUGUUGCCAGGUGUGCUGGGGGGCUGCUGCGAGUGCUGAUGCUGGCCGCCACCCGGGGUCCACCAGGCCCCACGCCCGCGCCGCCCGCCAUGCCCGAGCCACGCCCACACUCCCACAAGGUCCACCUCCAGCACGGUCCUGCGCGCUUCCACAAGCCCUGGUACAACCCGCCGUGGGUGAGUGAGAGCAAGGCUUCCAGCAAGUCCGCCGAGAAGGGACAUCGAGCUAGGGGCGAGGAUGGCGUGAGCGGGAUGGCCAGCUCUGGAGGAGGCGGCGGGGUGAGUGGGUCGUCGUCGUCGUCAGCGCGGGUGUCGUCGUCCCGCUCCCGCACGGAGGAGAUCGGCAAGUACCGCCUCCUCAAGACCAUCGGCAAGGGGAACUUCGCCAAGGUCAAGCUCGCCAAGCACAUCCCCACCGGCAAGGAGGUGGCUAUAAAAAUUAUAGACAAGACGCAACUUAAUCCAGGGUCAUUACAAAAGCUGUUUCGUGAGGUCCGCAUCAUGAAGAUCCUCGAUCAUCCAAACAUUGUCAAACUCUUCCAAGUGAUAGAAACAGAAAGAACUUUGUACCUGGUGAUGGAGUAUGCUAGUGGUGGGGAGGUAUUCGACUACUUGGUCUUCCAUGGCAGGAUGAAGGAAAAGGAGGCUCGGGCAAAAUUUAGACAGAUUGUGUCAGCAGUACAAUAUUGCCACCAAAAGAAGAUCAUUCAUAGGGAUUUAAAAGCUGAAAAUUUACUUUUAGAUUCAGAAAUGGUGAUAAAAAUAGCAGAUUUUGGCUUCAGCAAUGAAUUUACGCCAGGAAAUAAGUUAGAUACUUUCUGUGGUAGUCCACCUUAUGCUGCACCUGAACUUUUUCAAGGGAAAAAGUAUGAUGGCCCCGAGGUAGAUGUGUGGUCUUUGGGGGUCAUCCUCUACACCUUAGUUUCCGGCUCACUACCUUUUGAUGGGUCUAACUUAAAAGAACUUAGAGAACGGGUACUAAGGGGGAAAUAUCGUAUACCUUUCUACAUGUCCACUGACUGCGAGAAUCUGCUCAAGAAGUUCCUGGUACUCAAUCCAGCACGUAGGGCAUCUCUAGAGACAAUAAUGAAGGAUAGAUGGAUGAACAUUGGUUAUGAAGAUGAUGAACUAAAGCCAUAUGUGGAACCAACCAUAGACCUUGAUGACAUUAAACGAAUUGAGAUUCUCAGUGAAAUGGGUUAUUCUCGAGCCGAAAUAGAAGACAGUUUGAAGAGUCAGAAGUAUGAUGAUGUAUAUGCUACCUACCUACUCCUUGGGCGGAGAUCUUCGGACCUUGAGAGUGACGGUUCCCGGUCAGGAAGCUCACUUUCCCUUCGCAACACCUGCUUAACGCCGCGAGGGCAGGAGUCUAGCGGAGCUGCCCAAUCUCCCUCGCACUCCCACCGGGGAGUUCACCGCUCAGUCUCUGCCACCAACUCCAAGCCCUCUCGCAGAGCAUCCUCCGGUGGGGAGACCAUUCGGGGUGGAGGCACAACUCCAGUCUCUACUAAUGCACACAACCAUGCGGGCACCAACAACUUCCGGCGGCAGAACACGGUUGAUACUGCAACCAUCAAGGAGAACACUGCUCGUCUGGCUCAGGGGGGCGUCCCCACCACCUCAGCCUCACGCUCGGCAGCACUCAAGAACCAAAAUAUCACAGCCCUUGAUCCCUCAGGGGCACCCGGCAAAGCUGGAGGUGCAGGUGCAGCAACCAGUCCUGGUGUAGGGAAGUCUCGGGUACAGAAGAGUAACACCAUGACCAAUAGAACCAUAGGUAGUGGCUCAGCACGACGCUCAACGUACUCCUAUGAUGCCAAUAAGGCCUCCUCAACAGAAAAGACAAACAUAACAAACGUUCCAGAUUCUGCUAGUGGCGUGGCUGCGGUACCACUCCUCCCUGGGGCCCCUCCCUCCUCUGCGGUGGGGGCCCCGGUGGACAGCCUGUCCCCUGGCCACCCCUCGGCAGCCACUAACUCUCGACCUGCAAAAGGUCAUUUCAAGUCAGCGUCUAUUUCUGCGGGCACGGGUGCUGGUCCAGGUCGAGUGGAUCUCUCGCCCUUAGACCACCCCCUAGAUCCUUUACGGUCAAGCUCUUCAAACAAAACACCAGUGUCACCUAUAAGCUCAAGCAACCGCUUCCCCCGAAAUGUGCCCAGUCGAUCCACGUUCCACAGUGGACAGAAUCGGCAAAAUAACAAUACGUACAGGGGAGUCGGUGCCCCUCUAACCACACAGGACACCAGUGCCCUCUCUUCCACGAGUAGGACCAGUUUCUUCUCAAAAUUGUCAUCUAAAUUUUCAAAACGCCCCCUGGAAACUCCACCUAAGCAAGGCGCUAGGUAUGUUGGCACAUCCGUGAAUAAUGACGAGCAGGUCAAGCCUCGGUCAUUGCGCUUCACGUGGAGCAUGAAAACGACCUCUUCACGAGACCCCAAUGACAUCAUGGCCGAGAUUCGCAAGGUAGACCACCCCCCGCACCAUGAAUAGCGAAGACAAGUAUUAGAUGCAAACAACUGUGAUUAUGAGCAGCGAGAAAAGUUCUUGCUUCUCUGUGUCCAUGGAGACCCCAACACAGAUUCUUUAGUACAGUGGGAAAUUGAGGUGUGUAAGCUACCCAGACUUAGCCUGAACGGUGUGCGUUUCAAGAGGAUAUCAGGAACUUCCAUUGGGUUUAAAAAUAUUGCCAGCAAGAUUGCUAAUGAGCUAAAACUGUGACUACAAGGGGAGUUAGAACUAGGCGACUCUCUUGUAGAAGUACCACUAGGACAUAACACAGCCUGAGGUUAUGUAUCUAGUUCAGGUCAAAGUAGGCUGGGGUGUCUGACCAGUGAUGUGUCGAGGUCACACGAUUUUGUUAGAAAGAUUCAGGGAGUCAAAACAUAUUCCGAAACGUGCCUGAUAUCCAUCAAAGUUGCAUGUGUUUAAAAAAGUUGUUGUAGAACCAAAUAAGUUUUUAAAACUGUUAAGAGAGACAAGCUGGCACCUAACAAGUUUUCGGAGGUGUUCUCAAUAUGCAUUUUCGUGUUCUGACCUGGACUGUAAUCAGGCCCCCUUCCCUCUCAAGCUCACCUGAAAUAUAUUAAUUAACAAGCUCACCCCUGGGAGCUUUCACAUUAGAGCUCCAUGGGCCUCCCCUGAAGCACCUUUGGCUUGUUGGCUUCCCACCCUCACUCUCUAAAGCGUACCGUGGACCCCUCUCGCUGCUCGAAAUCCAGUUGCCUUUCAGGAAUUUAUGAUGGCCACAGGACUACUGUUGAUAUUCAUGAACUUUUAAACUAUCCUGACACUCCUGACCAGUGAAAGACAUGCUGUCAAUAGAGCCAUUGCUUCUUCACCUUCAAGACUUGAGGCAAUGGCAUGAGGUCAUUAGUGUGAUAUUUAGAACAUUAACAAUACUAAGUGGAAGAUUUUGAAUGGACUUGAACAAAGUGUCUUAGUACUUACCCCCUUCCACCAGUGCUGGCCAGAGUAGUGCGGUUGUGUAGAUCACGUUUGGUGGAAGUGUAAACAAAGUCUCACCUUGGACUCCAGUGGAUAUAGUGAAACGUGAGGCAAAUAUCCACCAUAUCAUAUUAUCUCCAUGUAUGUAAACCACGCAUCAUGUGUAACCGUAUCAUCCUUACGUGUUGCACUCACCAGCUAACCAGAAAGAGGUUCCAAAGGAACAGUUUUACCUUGUUUUCUUUUGUAAAUAUUUUGGCUAUAGGAAUGAGGAAUUCCAGCUGCCCAGUUUUGUUAUGUAUUACCUAUAGGAUGAAUGAGGUGAUUUGAAUAUUAAUAUGUACAGUAUUGUAAAGAAUUUGGUCACAUAUGCUGACUCUGAACUUAACCCUAAUCCUGGUUAAAAUAAAAAUACUGUGCAACGUGUAGCAUGAGCAGAGCUUUACUCCCAGUCGCCCCAUGCCCUUGUGUAGAAACCAAAGACUGGGGCCUCACUUCUGUUGUGCCUGGAGUAGUGCGUUGCAGUCUGCCAGUGUCUGCCAACUGUCAACAUGGUUUUUUCUGCCAUAUGCCCCCACCUAGCCUUGUUGUAUAUUUACCUGUUUAUCUGCCCUGUUGUACAUGAUAUAUAGUCUUCUGAUUGGUGAGCCAUCAAUACCACUAUGAUUCUACUUCUUUCUCAUCUUUGUCAAAACUUCAAAUCCCUCCCCUUUGUGUAGAUAUGUUCCCUUGCAUUGUCAUUAUCAUUUUAUUUUGAAAAUCCUGUAAUCAUUUUUCAUCUUGGUUAGAAAUACUAGUGGUGGCAGUUAGGUAUUUGAUUUUUUUUUUCUUUUUUUUUUUUUCUUCAUUUUUUUCCAUACUUUCUUUCUGGGAAUAUAAUCAUGUAAAUUUAUAGUUGCUAAUAUUUAAUAAAAUUAUGAGAUGAUAAUGUAUGGACCAUAUAGUGACAGUUUUUCUCUACACAACCUUGGGCUUAAUUCUAUAUGAAUUCCUUGAAAUUUGGUGCAAAUCAUUUGAAAUAUUUGCCAUCCUCAACAUUUUAAUCACAGGUGAUGACGGUCAUUAAAUAUUGAUAGGCCUACUUUUUAUUGCACAGACCAAAUCAAAUGAACAGGAGUUUUGUGAUGUGAACUCUGGGAUUCAGUUGAUAUACACUUUGAUUUGUAUUUUUACAUUUCCUAACCCCACCAGUGUAACUUGAGAGUGGUAAAAAGACAUCCUUUUAUUUGUUUGAUUGGAGGAUUUGAUAAGAAUUAUUUAAUAAUGCUGCUGCAUAUGUUCAUUCCUGUAACUACCUGUGUACAUACUCAGCCAGUAGCCCUUGAAAUACAGUGACAAUUCACAUCA
rnacentral:misc_RNA from 1 species